GGUAUUUCAAAAACUAAAUGGACGAAUGUGUAUGGAAGCGUGAUAAACAAAACACAUCAUGUAUGAAGAAACGCCAGAGCGGCCAAAAACCAAAAUGUAUUAUAUACGAGAGUGGUGCAGCAGUAAUACAUAAGUAGUGACGGACAGUUGAAGGAAGACAUUAUAUAGAAAUAGAGUAUAAGAUAUAAAUAUAACUCGACAUAAUUUGAAAGACGUCAGCAGUAUAAUUCUAAAUAAUUGUUAUUCAUGUUCAUCAUACAGGAGGUGGGUUAAAUAGUUGGGCGAGAUGGAUAAAAUAUAUGAAUUGGCGAUAGAACGACAAAGUGGUAUUUCCUCC